rnacentral:lncRNA from 1 species
CCUUUUGCGAAAUCCUUAGAUUGCAUUAAAUAUUUAAAUUUGUUCAUGCUUUAUCGAUAAAUUUUUGCCCAAUCUCAGAUUUUUAACUUUACCCUCCUUUUUUUUUUUUUUUUUUUUGGUUUGUUAAUGUGUGACUCUAGUAAGCUAUGUUCUUACUUCUUACUUUUUUACAUUUUAUCAUUUCUUCUGAUAGAUGAAGAGCCUCUUCUCCCCCAAAGUCUUCAUUUCUUAUACUUAAUAAGAUGAGUAUUGCACACGGCCUCAGUAUCUGAAAGCCCAACAAGUACUGUCUUCAUCCGGCUUCCGACGGCUUUUUGUCUGGCUUCCAUCAAUCCACAAUAAGCUUUACUCCUUAAUAAGAAAGGAUUUUGACGUCGGUCACACACAACGGGAACGGUAUUUCCCCCCUUUACUUAUUAUGUGGAUUUUCCUCCAAGGUCUGCUUUUCCUGGCUGUUGGCCAUUUGGGCCCAUCCGUCACUGUACCGCUUCGGCAUGAUGCUGCGGUUCACCGUACAGCUGAGGACACCUGGAACCAGGGAGAGUAGGGGCAGCCCGAGGCCCGGAGCGCGUGAGCCUCGACCCGGGAUGAGUCCCCGCCGGUGCCGGCUCUGACGCGAGUCUCCUGCAGAGGCUCCAGCUUCCGUGUAGAUCCAUCCUCCCUUCUCCUCCUCCCACUUCGCGUCCUAUUUUCACUCGCCCUUGUUGAGCCGAAGAAGUCUGACGUGCUCAGAGUCCUUGGCACAGAACUGGGAGAAAAGCUCGUUUAUCCUUGUAUUUUAUCUCGAGUAACUUCUGGAAAGAUCCGGUAUUGGGAGAUGCUGUGGAACGAGAAAACUGAUAAGACCAGCGGCCGAUGUACGAGGCCAGGCAGGAGACUACCUGUGGGCACCUGGGAGCUUGCCUGCCAAGGGGCUUCUGUGAGCAUCUGUGGUGACGAAACGCUCUCCGUCUUCACUGAGGUUGCUGCUACGCAAUGUAUGUAUUUCUCCAAACUCAGCAAACCGACUGCACGAAGAAUAUGUGAACUUCAUUUCAUGUAGAUUUCAUUUCCGGGAAGUCCACAUAGAUGAUCAA